rnacentral:rRNA from 1 species
CCUACGGGAGGCAGCAGUGGGGAAUAUUGGACAAUGGGGGCAACCCUGAUCCAGCCAUGCCGCGUGUGUGAAGAAGGCCCUCGGGUUGUAAAGCACUUUCAGUGAGGAAGAACGCCUGGUGGUUAAUACCCAUCAGGAAAGACAUCACUCACAGAAGAAGCACCGGCUAACUCCGUGCCAGCAGCCGCGGUAAUACGGAGGGUGCGAGCGUUAAUCGGAAUUACUGGGCGUAAAGCGCGCGUAGGUGGCUUGAUAAGCCGGUUGUGAAAGCCCCGGGCUCAACCUGGGAACGGCAUCCGGAACUGUCAAGCUAGAGUGCAGGAGAGGAAGGUAGAAUUCCCGGUGUAGCGGUGACAUGCGUAUAGAUCGGGAGGAAUACCAGUGGCGAAGGCGGCCUUCUGGACUGACACUGACACUGAGGUGCGAAAGCGUGGGUAGCAAACAGGACUAGCUACCCUGGUAGUC